rnacentral:rRNA from 1 species
UACGUAGGGUGCGAGCGUUAAUCGGAAUUACUGGGCGUAAAGCGUGCGCAGGCGGUCUGUUAAGACCGAUGUGAAAUCCCCGGGCUUAACCUGGGAACUGCAUUGGUGACUGGCAGGCUUUGAGUGUGGCAGAGGGAGGUAGAAUUCCACGUGUAGCAGUGAAAUGCGUAGAGAUGUGGAGGAAUACCGAUGGCGAAGGCAGCCUCCUGGGCCAACACUGACGCUCAUGCACGAAAGCGUGGGGAGCAAACAGGAUUAGAUACCC